UGAAUCUUUUGUGGUCUUAUAAGGCAUUAUAAAAAAAAUUAUGUGAUCUCAUCAUAUGUUGUUGUUUUAUUAUGUAUUGUCUAUAAUAUAGUAUCAAUUUGUCAAUAUAAUUGUUUGUUUUGUAGUUUUUUUUACUUUUCAUGAAGUUAUAGGGUUUGGUUUUCCUUAUUGUGUUCGACGAGAAAGAGUUCAUGAUUUCGAUGGCAACCAUAAAACGUUGUUUGGUUGCAAGCACUAAAAGAGGUUGUAAAACUAUUUAUGAUUGUCAUGUCAUCUCUAAUUCUAAGAUCAUGCAAUCCAUCGGGUUUUUGGGUGCUGCAUUUUUCUUACACAGCUAAGUAAUAUUAGAACACAUGCCAUGGUAGCUAACAACUAAUUAAUGUUAGAACACUUAUCAUGAUAGUAAUGUGCAUGUCUUGCAGUUAAGUUUGAACAUAUAUAUCGACAUGCUUUUUAGAUUCCUAAGGUUUUACACUAUUUUGCAA